GACGAACGCUGGCGGCGUGCUUAACACAUGCAAGUCGAGCGGAGCGGCGAACGGGUGAGUCACGCGUGUGUAACUUCCCCCCUCUCUGGGAUAACAGUUGGAAACGGCUGCUAAUACUGGAUAGUGGGGGAUGGUUCGGGGCCUAUCAGCUUGUUGGUGAGGUAGUGGCCUACCAAGGCGACGACGGGUAGCCGGCCUGAGAGGGCGACCGGCCACAUUGGGCUGAGAUAGGGCCCAAACUCCUACGGGAGGCAGGAGUGGGGAAUAUUGCACAAUGGGGGAAACCCUGAUGAAGCAACGCCGCGUGCGGGAUGACGGCCUUCGGGUUGUAAACCGCUUUCAGCCAUGACGCGGUAUUGGCAGAAGAAGCACCGGCUAACUACGUGCCAGCAGCCGCGGUAAUUC
rnacentral:rRNA from 1 species